rnacentral:lncRNA from 1 species
GAUACGGGGUAGGAAAGGUUGGUGGUGUUUUGAUAUGGCUCUAUUAACGGUAUUCGGGAAGGUGGGAACCAAUCUAAGAUGAGGCGAGUCAUGUAGGCAUCUUUGUAUUUUGCCUUCAGAUUUUAGGUUCACCUAAGCCUCAUUCGGUCAAUUGGCCCUUGUUCCGAUUCGAUCCGUCAAUGAAACAAGAGGUGAAUUUUCUACCCUUUUUUACUUAAUAAAAACUCAUAUAGAUGGUUCAUGAUUUUGCUUCCAUGUGGGUUUUGCUCUACUAUUUAAUCUUAGUGCAUUUCCUUUCCUAACUAUUUAUAUAUAUAUAUAUAUGUGUGUGUGUGUGUCAUAGUCAUAGUCAUAGUCAUGCUAGUGACAUUUAGUAGUUUAUAUAUCUACUCUAUACCAUUCAUUAAUUGAUAAUUUAUAACUGAAUUUUCA